rnacentral:rRNA from 1 species
UUGCAUAUCAAUAAGCNGAGGAAAAGAAACCAACAGGGAUUGCCUCAGUAACGGCGAGUGAAGCGGCAAAAGCUCAAAUUUGAAAUCCCCCCGGGGAGUUGUAAUUUGAAGAUUGCGUCUUGGAGGCGACCGUGUCUAUGUUCCUUGGAACAGGACGUCACAGAGGGUGAGAAUCCCGUGCGGCACGGCCCCCGGCUCCUUAUAAGGCGCUCUCGACGAGUCGAGUUGUUUGGGAAUGCAGCUCAAAGUGGGUGGUAAAUUCCAUCUAAAGCUAAAUACAGGCGAGAGACCGAUAGCGAACAAGUACAGUGAUGGAAAGAUGAAAAGCACUUUGAAAAGAGAGUGAAACAGCACGUGAAAUUGUUGAAAGGGAAGGGCAUGCCGUCAGAUUGUCAGUGUGGGUAAGAAGCGGGGUACAAAGACUGUGGAACGUGGCCCUCGGGUGUUAUAGCCGCAGUUCAUGCCCCGUCUCUUUCCGAGGCCUGCUUUGAGGACACCGACGUAAUGACGGUACGCCGCCCGUCUUGAAACACGGACCAAAAAAAAAAAAAU